AUAUAUAUAUUUUGUAUACCAACAUUCUUAUUUAAAGGGUUUUAUAGAGAAAAAUCGCAAGUCUUCAAAAGAAGACAGUCAAGUCUUUUUUUUACUAGCUCACGCAAUGGUUCACAGGUGUGUAGAAAUAUAAAAGUGUGCACACAAUGAGCAACAACUUCUUUAUUCUUUAAUGAUCCUUCCGCAGGUUCACCUACGGAAA
rnacentral:misc_RNA from 1 species